UCUCAAACAUUUCCUUUUGAUUUUUCAUGAUUUUAUUCUGAUGUUUCUCGAACUUGCAGAUUCCAAAAAUCAGAGAAGAGGGAGUAACAGUUUCGCAGCCAUGAAUCCAACUGUUGGUGCUGAGUGUUCAUGAUAAUAACUGGCUGCUGCAUCGACUAGGUUUUUGUAUGAUUUUGGAGAAGCUUGGCGGAAGACAAGGCACUACAAGUUGUUCUCCGAUGAGUGGCUUCAAUGGCGGCAUCUUCUGUAGUAGGGAACAAGACAUGUUGUCAGAUUGUUUGGCGAAGUACAGAUGAAGCAGCAUAAGAGGAGGAUAAUGACAGGAAAUAAACAAGAGAGACGUGAGGAAGCUGUGAAAAAGCCAGGCUACAUCCAGGAACUUUGAUAUAUGGACAACAUAAAGCUAGGAUCACCUACCGCUAGUACUGGGCUCAGAACUUGCAGAAUAAAGGUGUGGAGAACAACGUCUACAGGAGUCGCGGCCAUUGAGGCCACUCAUAGGAAAACAAUUUGUAUCCUUGGGUCUUUCGCCAAGCUUCUCCAAAAUCAUAUACAGGUUCUGCAGUACGUGUGAAUACAUCACAAGAAAUUACUUUUUCUAGAUGUGCGGAAGAGCAGGAUGAAAAAUCAUGUUCCGAACCUCCAUGCCAAGAGUUCUGCCUCCUCCAAGUCCAAAAUCGUCUGAACAUUUCUGAAAUACUUUAGCAACAUCUAAAACAUACUUCCAAACCCAUAUUGCAUUAUCUCGAGUAGGAAAAUGGCUGAGUCGCCGACAAGUGAUGGUAGUCAAACAAUUACAAGCAAAACAGAGUUCCCCACCUGAAAAACCAGAACAACAACUAUUGGGAUAGGUUGUUAUCCUCCAUUCAGGUAAUUCCAAAGCCCAUCGCUUUUCUACACUAACAAAAACAGUCAUCCAUUGUCCAUUACUAUCAAUCCCAAAGAUACUCCAUCGACUACACCAGCCGAGGAUGAGGAAAUCUUAUUCCUGGAAGGGUACAAUUGCAAAGAAAUGUCCAGAGGUUUUUGGACUUGGAGGAGGCAAUGCUCUUGAUAUUGCUCUUGAUAUGGAAGUUCGGGACAUGGUUUCUCAUCCUGCUUUUCUGGACAUCUUGUAUUUGCAAAUACUUGCAUUGCUAUGUCGCUGAGGAGCCUUCCCAGUGGGUUGCUAUGCUGCCAUGGGCGGAAUUUUUGUUCAAUACUUUGUUUCAAACUUCAGCGGGUAUGACCCCUUUCCAGUCUCUCUAUGGUCGUGAACCUCCUACUGUUGCUCAGUACAUAUUCAGAAAUUUGUGAGCGAUUUUGGUUCAGUACACUUUCAGCCGGGAACAAAACAUGUUGUCAGAUUGUUUGGCGAAGUACAGAUGAAGCAGCAUAAGAGGAGAACUGUCCGAAGGAUAAUGACAGUAAACAAGAGAGACGUGAGGAAGCUGUGAAAAAGCCAGGCUACAUCCAGGAACUUCGAUAUAUGGAUAACUUAAAGCUAGGAUCACGUACCGCUAGUACUGGGCUCAGAACCUGCAGAACAAAGGUGUGGAGAACAACGUCUACAGGAGUCGCGGCCAUUGAGGACACUCAUAGGAAAACAAUUUGUAUCCUUGGGUCUUUCGCCAAGCUUCUACAAAAUCAUGUACAAGUUCUGCAGUACGUGUGAAUACAUCACAAGAAAUAACUUUUCCUAGGUUUGCGGAAGAGCAGGAUGAAAAAUCAUAUUCCGAACAUCCAUACCAAGAUCACUGCCUCCUGCAAGUCCAAAAUCGUCUGAACAUUUCUGAAAUACAGUAGCAACAUCUACAACAUACUUCCAAACCUAUACUGCAUUAUCUCAACUAGGAAAAUGGCUGAGUCGCCAACAAGUGAUGGUAGUCAAAACAAUUACAAGCAAAACAGAGUUCCCCACCUUAAAAAACAAAGACAACAACUAUUGGGAUAUAGAUCAUUGUCCUUCCUUCAGGUAAUUCCAAAGCCCAAAAUCGCUUUUCUACACUAUCAAAUCAAAAAACAGUCAUCCAUUGUCCAUUACUAUCAAACCAAAAGAAUACUCCAUCGACUACACCAGCCGAGGAUGAGGAAAUCUUGUUCCUGGAAGGGUGCAAUUGCAAAGGUACAUCCACACAUUAGCCUCUGAAGAGAAAAUUUCAAUUGUUAAACUGUACUGUAAUGCAUACAGAUAACUCAGAGGUGUUGCAUAACAAACUAUAGUAACGAGGCUGAGUCAUCCUCAUCUACAUAACAAGUAAAUCCAACAUAUGGAUCUUUCAUAGUAACCGAUUCGAAUGGGACAAUAAACUAUUUUAAUUUUAUUAAUAACUAAAAAUGAAUUGGAUUA